UACGGGGGGAGCAAGCGUUGUUCGGAUUUACUGGGCGUAAAGGGCGCGUAGGCGGCCACCGCAAGUCAGUUGUGAAAUCUCUGGGCUUAACCCAGAAAGGUCAACUGAUACUGCGGGGCUAGAGUGCAGAAGGGGCAACUGGAAUUCUCGGUGUAGCGGUGAAAUGCGUAGAGAUCGGGAGGAAGGCCGGUGGCGAAGGCGGCGCUCUGGAACAUUUCUGACGCUGAGGCUCGAAAGCGUGGGGAGCAAACAGG
rnacentral:rRNA from 1 species